rnacentral:rRNA from 1 species
ACUCCUACGGGAGGCAGCAGUGAGGAAUAUUGGACAAUGGGUGAGAGCCUGAUCCAGCCAUCCCGCGUGAAGGACGACGGCCCUAUGGGUUGUAAACUUCUUUUGUACAGGGAUAAACCUUUCCACGUGUGGGAAGCUGAAGGUACUGUACGAAUAAGCACCGGCUAACUCCGUGCCAGCAGCCGCGGUAAUACGGAGGGGUGCAAGCGUUAUCCGGAUUUAUUGGGGUUUAAAGGGGUCCGUAGGCGGAUCUGUAAGUCAGUGGUGAAAUCUCACAGCUUAACUGUGAAACUGCCAUUGAUACUGCAGGUCUUGAGUAAAUUUGAAGUGGCUGGAAUAAGUAGUGUAGCGGUGAAAUGCAUAGAUAUUACUUAGAACACCAAUUGCGAAGGCAGGUCACUAAGAUUUAACUGACGCUGAGGGACGAAAGCGUGGGGAGCGAACAGGAUUAGAUACCCUGGUAGGAUAGCG